CCUACGGGAGGCAGCAGUGGGGAAUUUUAGACAAUGGGGGAAACCCUGAACCAGCCAUGCCGCGUGAGUGAAGAAGGCCUUCGGGUUGUAAAGCUCUUUCAGCCGGAACGAAACGGUCACGGGUAAUACCCGUGACUACUGACGGUACCGGAAGAAGAAGCACCGGCUACCUACGUGCCAGCAGCCGCGGUAAU
rnacentral:rRNA from 1 species